rnacentral:lncRNA from 1 species
AUGCAAUGUGAUGCCUUGGAAUCUGGCCAAAAUGAGUUAUGCGUUCUAUUGAAUGUCACGAAAGAUGCUGUUUGUGCAUUUGGUAUUCUGGAGGCAUGCGCUCUGCCCUCAGCGCUGCAUUCAAGACAUCGGGAGUCAUGCUGUGCAGGCGUGAAAAUUGGGAUUAGAUCUGUUGGCCUUAAAAGGGCCGAGCUUUCUGAAGCACAUUGCCGGUACCUUUCAACAGAAAUGUUAGCUUUUAAGUUUUAUUUCUGUUUCAAACUGGGAAAAGGGAGGAAGUUAUUAAAGUCAUCUUUGUAGGAACUCACACACAAACACUCACACAUAAACAUUAAACAAGUACACUGGGAGAAAAGGUUAGGGAUUGGGGAUGUUACGUGUUGGCCAUGGUAAGUGAGAUAUCAAAUCAUUGGGGGCGUCUACUCUGUCCAAAGGGCACUGCAGCCAGCAUAGAGAGGAAGUAUAGAUCAACAUUUCUCUUCAUGGGAAUUGGAUAAGGAUGUUCACACACCACUUGAGUAAUACACGAAUAAACAUUGGAUAAGGAUGAUGUGGCUUAUUUCACUUAAUUUACCAGGUGUGGUUAAUAGUUGAGUAUAAAGCAUAUCAGAUGUCAUAUUAGCAGUAGGUGCAUCCCAAAUCGCUUACUUAUGCACUAUUCUAUGACUUUUUGUAGUGUAAAUAGUGUGAGUAGUGCUUUCACACUGAAAAUUCCACAAAUAAAAAAGCACUGGGAUGAUGCACUUAAAUGAAAAAAAUAAAUUAAAUAAAAUGAAGUGUGGAAUGUUGAGCUGCGUCCCAAAUGACGCACUAUACACUAUGCACUCAUACACUAUGUACUUAUGCACUAUGUACUCAACCAUGUAGUGUAUGAACUAUAUAAGGUUAUUUUGUCAUUCAUAAUCAGAGUCUGAUAGCCCCUCCCCUUCGCUACGUAAUUAAAGCUGUGACAGUUGAGUGCAUAAAGUGUCCAACAUUCCACACUUCGUUUUUUUUUCGGUUAUUUAAGUGCAUCACCCGGGUAUUUAAAGUGCGCUUUUCUUUUUUGGAAUUUUCAGUUUGAACGCACUACUCGCACUAUUCAUACUAAAAAAAAUGUCAUAGAAUAGUGCAUACUGUAAGUACGCGAUUUGGGACGCACCUAGUGUUUAGCAGAUACAUACAUACAAACAUAUAUAUACUGUGCAAAAGUCUUAGGCCAUUAGUAUUGUCACCAAAAAAAAAUGGUUUUAAGCCUGUUAUUUCUAUAUUUUGCUUUAGUGUGUCAGUAGGAAAUAACAGUUUACUUUUCCAGACAUUCCUUUUGCCAUUAAUUGUAAUAAUCCAGUGAUAUUUUUGUAUGCACAAGGAGUCCGACAACAACCAGUGUUCCACACAGAGAUCUGAUCUCAUCAUCAUCCAGUCUGUCUGGGAUUAAAUGAAAACAAAACGGAGAAACUGAGACAGACUGAAUCCAGAGGAACUGUGGCAACGUCUCAGAGAUGCUACAAGAAACCUUCCUGUUAAGAGCCCACUCUUAAAUCUCAUAUAUUUCUUCCACCAAGUAAUAAACCAUAUUCAGUUGAUUAAGAAAGUACCAGCACACACCUCUCUUCCACAAGCUGCAAAAUUUCUAGCAAUUGUGCUAAUUACAUGACCAGUUUGGGAAGUUAGCUACUUGCCGAUGUUUAAUAUUUAAGGUUAUUUCUAGGUUUCCAAGUAUGAGCAAUAAUAAUAGUAAUGUUUACUUUUGCAGGCUCCACUAAUGAGCUCCUAACACUCUCUUCCGAGAAAAGUUACUGCUUCUCCUUCACCACAGACGUAUCUCAGACUCUUACCGCAAUCUGAAGAAUCACCUCAAAGAAUCCCGAAACCAGUUUGAACUCUCAGUUCCUUCAUAUCCAUACUUUUCUCUAAAGAACUCUGUUUGUUCCAAACUCUCAUGGCAGAGAGGGAUUUAACAGUGUAUUAUCACAUUUGUGAAUAUUACAGGCAUAGAUCCGCAGGGAUGUAGAGACGAAAGAGGAAAUAUAUUUGAAGAGUGGGCAGGCGCGGAUGUAUUAUUUAACACUGGUUAAAUAAUGUAUUGUGUUUGAAGUACUUCUUUUAACAGAGUGAUUUGUUGGGGGGAAAUGACGCUUUUCUUAAAGGAAGCAAUUUACAAAGCGAUAAUGCCCUAGUAAAGCGCUGCGUCUGUAUUUGUGUUUGCUGAGUAUUUGCAUAAUGCCAAUAGACUGUCUGCUCCAAUAAACAGUGACGCACGCACACUUCCAGAGGUCACACAUCACCAGAGAGCGAUGUAACUCAUUUUGUUUCAUACACAGCGUGAUAAACAAGCGCAUCAGAUGGCUUACAUUUCUGAACGCUGUCCAGUGGUUUGCAUAUUAAAACCUCUGAGAAUGAAUGCGGUCCCUAGUUUCUUCAGCAGCCAUGAAUAUUUUAUCGAGCCGUGUACAUUCCCCUCCGCAUAUUUGUUCAAAGGGCCAGGAUUAUAAUUUGAAUAAUUCAGCGUGGAAAAAUAUCUCAAAACGAAUGCCCCGAGCCAAUGACAUUUCUAUGCAAAGGACAUAUUUGAUUAAUGGAGCCUGUGAAUAGUCAGAUGCAUUAGUGCCAAUAGAGGGGCUGAUCAAAAGGCUUAAUAAUGGAAUUGCAGACUACAAAUUGCAUGGCAUGUUACACGGUGGGUGGCUUCCCAUUUUCUGCCAUUUGUCCUGUUUGCACACAUGACAACAUAUCUGGUGGCAUAGUGUUGUAAGAAUGAUUUCUGAAGGAUCAUGUGACAUUGAAGACUGGAGUGAUGAUGCUGAAAAUUCAGCUCUGCAUGAUGAAUGAAAAACAUUUGAAAAAUAUCCAAGUAGAAAACAUUUAUUUAAAAUUGUAAACGAUAUAUACAGUUGUACUGUAUUUUUAAUCAAAUAAAUGCAGUCUUGGUGAGGAAAAAGAGGCUUUUUAAUUGAAUAAUGAUUAAUCGCAUCCAAAAUAAAAGUUUUUGUCUACAUAAUAUAUAAGUGUGUAUUGUGUAUAUUUAUUAUGUAUAUAUAAAUACAAACACAUGUAUGUAUAUACUUAAGAAAAAAUAUGCAAUGUAUAUAUUACAUUUAUUUAUAUAUCAUAGAA